UACGAAGGGGGCUAGCGUUGCUCGGAAUCACUGGGCGUAAAGCGCACGUAGGCGGUCUUUUAAGUCAGGGGUGAAAUCCCCGAGCUCAACUCGGGAACUGCGUCCGAUACUGGUGGGCUUGAAUCCGGGAGAGGGAUGCGGAAUUCCAGGUGUAGCGGUGAAAUGCGUAGAUAUCUGGAGGAACACCGGUGGCGAAGGCGGCAUCCUGGACCGGCAUUGACGCUGAGGCGCGAAAGCGUGGGGAGCAAACAGG
rnacentral:rRNA from 1 species